rnacentral:tRNA from 1 species
UCCGUUAUGGUGUAGUGGCUAACAUUAUCGCCUCUCAUACGCUGGUAUAGAGUUACGCGAUAGCCCAGGGUUCGAUUCCCUGUAACGGAA